UUGAAAACAUCUACAAGUGUUUAUUGCACCUUGACACAGACACAAAAUAUAUUCUUUACGUAAAACUAACAAAGUCAAGAAUGGGUUACAUCAUAAUUAGAAUAGGCUACAUUGGCAUAACCCAGUGGUGAGUACACUAACACAAUGUAAGCUCACAUUGAAUGGCCAAACAACAAAAAUAUACAGGUCAUAAUAUCCUCGACUGUCCCAAAGAGUGUUAAUAUCUUGACAAGUCCAUCAACCCAACAUUUCAAACAGGAUUGACUUGUAUAAUAAUGUGUGAUGCUGGACAAAGACAUGGACUGUGAUAGAAAUACUGGGAGUGUUAAUGACACACAAAAGUUGAAAAACAUUUUUUUUUAUCCCUCACACAAUUUUAUUAGACUAGCAAUACCACGUAAACCAUGUGGCUUCCACACUGAGGAGGCUUGGGUUCAAAUCUCUGUGAAGACUGGGAGUUUUUUUUCAACUUUGAGAUUUUUAGGAUGCCCCUGAAUCCAUGCAGUUCUAAUGGGUUACCUCACAUUAGUUGGGGAAAGUGGGUUGUGGUGUGGCCAGAUGACACCCUCUUUAAACACCAGGUAUAGAAACAGAUGACCUUUACAUUAUCAGCCCUAUACAUCACAAUGUUAAACAAUGGGUACUUUUACUUUAAAAUAUUAAUAAAAUUAAGUACCGGUAAUAAUUAUAAUAACAACUGAACUAUAAAGCAAGUCUUUGUUAAGUUCAAAAUGUUUGUUUUACAUUAAUUGUUAUGUAGUUAUGAGUGUUCUGUUAUAUAUAUAUAUAUAUAU